GGAGCUGCAGCGAGCCCGCCAUCUGCCCGGAGUGUGGGGGGCUGAGAUUCCAGACUGGCUCCCCACAGCUGCAUGCACAGCUGUCCUGGACCCAGCUCCGGCCAGGGGUCGGGCCUCGAAGCCACAGUCUGGCCACGACGACGCUGCUGGAUGAUUGAUUCCUAGCUCAGCUGCAUCAGACGACUCCUCCAAAAAAGAAUGUUGAUGAUGAAUUUCAAGGCCUGCCGGUUUGGUAUGAGAGAUCACUCACGCAGUGCCAGGCAACAGAUUUCGGCUUGCAGGCAGCCAUGGUGACCGUGAAUUAUAUCACUCUCCUGAGGAUAACAAAGAGCAAUAAGGAAUGGAUGUUGUCUGCAUGCCAGCAAACACUGGGACCAUACGCUGCCAUGCUUUGUUAUGCAAUGAUUCCAGACUACAUGCUACUGGCCUGGCAUGGUAAAGUGUCCUACCAUGGCGGACGGGAUAAGGCAGACCUCCCCAGAAACCUUUUGCAAAGGCUUUGGGAGUACAUCCAGGAGAGCUUUAUGGAGAUGUCCCUGGAGGAUUUCCGCUCCAUCCACAUACACGUUAACAGACUUUUCCAGUAGCUGU